GUGAGGAAUUUUCCGCAAUGGGCGAAAGCCUGACGGAGCAAUGCCGCGUGAAGGAUGAAGGCCUAUGGGUUGUAAACUUCUUUUCUCAGAAAAGAAUUAUGACGGCAUCUGAGGAAUAAGCAUCGGCUAACUCUGUGCCAGCAGCCGCGGUAAGACAGAGGAUGCAAGCGUUAUCCGGAAUGAUUGGGCGUAAAGCGUCUGUAGGUUGUUUAAAAAGUAUUCUGUCAAAGAUUAGGGCUUAACCCUAGAUAGGCAGAAUAAACUUUUAAGCUAGAGUUUGGUAGAGGCAGAGGGAAUUCCCGGUGGAGCGGUGAAAUGCGUAGAUAUCGGGAGGAACACCAAAGGCGAAGGCACUCUGCUGGGCCAAUACUAACACUGAGAGACGAAAGCGAGGGGAGCAAAUGGGAUUAGAAACCCUAGUAGUCC
rnacentral:rRNA from 1 species